rnacentral:misc_RNA from 1 species
AGUUAAUGUUGGAUGYACAAAAGUGAGUUCCUGUGUUGCAUACCUAUUGCGACGGAAGUUUGUGCCUUUAGCRGUCCCUUCRAUCAGAGCAUCCGAAAGGAUGCUCGAUUGGACCAGAUGGUCGGCCUUGUGCUCCAUGAACGUUAUCUCAUUGGAUCGUUCGUGUGGAUCAYGAGUGCCUACUUGUCCUCYCGGAUGCGGAACCCUUUUCAUGGGUAUUGUGGUCAUUGGCCCUUGUUCCCAAAAUCAUAAAGCGCUCGUCGCUUUUUACUGGAACGAYGCUCUUGCCUUGUCCUUGACCAAGUGGAGCUCUCGGGCUUCAUGAURRAUCAUGCUGGGYGGACGUCGYGAAGGAAUGC